rnacentral:lncRNA from 7 species
GGAUGACUGUGAAGCUCUCCUGUAUGUUACUGUUUGGUCCCCAAAGUUUGAGUAAUGGGGUUCUGUAGAGCUACUGUCAGCUCCUGUGCAUCACUUGCAGCUCUGUGGCCUGUUAAGGCUUUCUUCUGCAGUUUCUUUGAAACAGCAUGCAAAUUUGGUACUACUUCUGUGUGAUUCAAACCUUGUAACCCACGCAUUCCAGGAGGUUUAAAGACACUGGAGGCACUCAGCAUUCUUGCAGAGCUCCUUGCAUAAGUCCUUUAACCACGUGGCAGAAGAUCUCUUCUAAUCCCUUUGGGAUUUGGGGGCACUGAGGUUUGCCUGUAGUUAUGUGCCAUUUAUAGAGCCAAAUCUCCCACCAUGGUACUGGUGGGGAGGCCAGUCCCCACCCUGUGUGCAAAAAGCCUGAGCAAAUGACCUCCUGCAGCCCAGUGUUUGCUCUUAUCAACUUUUUUCUUGGAAAACAAGCCUCUGCAGAGGAACUGCACCCCAGGCAGAUAACCAGGGAGCUGGGCUUUGUGGGACCUGGUGAGGUUUUGAGGAUGGCCCAGGCUUCAUAUACUACAGCAAUUUACUUGGGCAUGCAGCCCCCUGCCAUGCGAUCCUCUACUCUGCCUCAAAUGCAUAGGGUACACUCUGCAGAUUCGCUAUUAUAUGCCACCAGUAUCCAAGUUUGAAUUAGUCUUGAGAGGCUUUAUUUAAGUAAACUGAAUAUUGGGGGAGUUGCUUUCGAUGCUUUCAGAGACUGACUACUGCUUUUGCAAGUUACAAUCCCAAUCAUAUGUGAAGCUAUUUUUUUCCUUCAGAAGAGUAAAAAACACAACUUAGGCAAACUUUUUUUAAUGGAAUGAUGAAACUACUGAACUGCAAUCAAACAGCAAUAAAACAGCAGAUGCUGUCAGAUGAUAUGAAGCUGGUGCAGAGAGCCAGAGAGAGGCAGAAUCCUCAAACUAAUUCAAAGAAAAAAGCAACACAGAAAGCCAACUAACAUGAAGAAGGACGAUGCAGUCGUUUUACCCACUUUUACAUUUACCCAAAACCUAUGUGUGUGUCUUGAAUUUGCAGCAAAGAUAGGGAUAAAGCCGAAGCUGAGCGGUGGAGCAGCGCAGAACCAGCUCUGCAGAGGGGACUGUAGGUGGAGCUCGGCUCUGCGAUUCCUCGCUGCUGCUCCACAAUGAAGCGAUUGUUUCCUGUCUCCGCUCAUCAAUUCCUCCUUCCCUCUCUGUGCUUUCUGGUCGCAUGUUCUAUUUAUUUUAAUGUAUACCUUUG